GCCCGAAACACAAGGUUCUUUCCUUCCUUAAGCAACUCCUAUUGUAGAAGUUAUCUGACGACAUCGGUUACGUUUACAGAAGUACCAGUUGAAAGAUGGAUGAUGAUGACUUUGGAGGAUUUGAGGCAGCAGAGAGUUAUGAGUUUGGAAAUGGUGAAAAGCAGACCACAUCCCCUGCUAUUGCUUGGGCAGCAUUUCCUACAGUACCUGAAGUCCACAGAUCUCCUGAUGUUCUUCUGGAGCACUCUGUGCCUUCUUCCUGCCUGGCUCCUUCUGACUCAUUCAUUUUAUCAAGUGAUAAUGUGGCAACAGCUGUUCAAACAGCCAACAGUGUGAUAAAUCCAGCUGUUCUUGAAGAACAGAUUCAAGCAGAUAUUCCAGUCGCCUCUUCAAAUGUAAUUGAGGGCAAGACUUUAGUUACAUCAACCACUGCUUUGAUUGAUGCUGAGACACAGAGAACAAAUGAAGCGAAGAGCUGCCUUCAACAAGCUGUUGCAAACCUAGAAAUCAAGCUUUGCACUGCUGAAGAAGAAAAAUUGAAAAUUAAAAAGGAAUUAGAAUAUUUGCUGGAAAAACAUAGUGUUUUAGAAAUGGAUUUCCUGAAGGAAAAAAAAGAAAAAGUACCACAUCAAGAUCAUUACAAGACACUCCAGGAAAAGCAUAAGCAGGAAUUAGAAGACAUGAGAAAAGCUGGACAUGAAGCCUUGAGUAUUAUUGUUGAAGAAUUCAAGGCACUGCUACAAUCUACAGUUCAGCAGCAAGAAGCAGCUAUUGAAAAGCAGUAUAUACUAGCAAUUGAAAAACACUCUCACAAAUGUGAAAAGCUUCUUAAUGCUCAGCAUCAACGGCUUCUUGACAUUCUGGAAGCAGAGAAGGAAGUCUUAUCAGAAAAGAUAGAAGAAGCUUUGAUGCAGCAGUCACAAAAGCACAAGGAAGUGCUGGACAAAUGUUUGGAUGAAGAAAGGCAAAGAAGUAAGGAGGCUGUGGCAGCUGCUGCCGAGGCUGAGAAAGAAGCAGUGCAGGAAGCUGUUCUGAAAGCAGUAGAGGAGGAGAGGAGGAAUAUGGAGAAGAUUCAUGCAGAAGAAAGAAAAAUGUGGGAAGCAGAACGUGAUACUCAUAAAGAGAAGAUUGCCCAGGCUGUUUCGGAAGCCAUGGAGGAACAAAGAAGGCAGAAUCAGGAAAUUGUCAAGGAAGCAUUAAUGGAGGAGCAGAAACGAAGUGAAAAGGCAAUUGAAGAAGCAGUGAAAAGGACAAGAAAGGAACUGAUGGAAUAUAUUAAAGAACAGAAAAGGCUUGAUCAAGUUGUCCGUCAGAGAAAUCUGCAUAGUUUGGAACUUUUCCUUUCAUGUGCACAGAAACAGUUAAACGUUUUAUUAAAGGAAGAACCAACCACAGAGGAAAACAGAGACUGACAUUCCCGGUACCACUGAUACAGUGUGAUCUGUGAAGCUGCAAAUCUCAAUUCAGCAAGUGAUGAAUAUAUUCUAAUCUUUUGGGAUUGUAUUAUUGAUUCAAGGUUGAUCUGAAACUAUGCUUGAUAGAAAUGUGUGGAUGAUGUUCUGUUAUUUAUUUAUUUGUUUUACUGCUAUUAUCAGAUUGCAAAUAUGGAAGGGGAAAAAAUCCAUGAGAAAAAAAAAUUGGGGUUUUUUAUGAUUUUGUUUUCAUUACAUUUUCUAGUAACGCAUGGUUGAAGUGUUAGGUAACUUGUAGCACUGAUGAAAACAUUUCCCUGUUAUGUCUGUUUUAAAUUUGGCAUCAUGCGUUGAUGUGAUUCAUCGUUAUUUUUGAUAUUUUAAAAAUUUGUGACAAACUUACUUGAAUAUUGAUAUAAAUCCAUCUCUAUUUCCACAGUAUAUACCCAAGUCCAUUGCCUCAGGUGAGCCUGAGGAGCUUAUUAUUUCUUACUAUUUUUGAUGUAUAACAGAGGAAUCAAUGCUGAAACAUGAGUGUUGUCAGGCAUUUCUUUAAUCAUUUAUAAAAAACUUCAGCUCUGGUAAUAGAAAAAUUUAAAAACUAAACAGUGCAUCUUUUUAGAGUAGUGCAAAACACUGCCAUAGCCAAUGUAUAGUAUGUAUUUUAUUUCUGUUUUACAGAGCUACUUCAAUUCCAAAAGUAAUUUUCUCAUGAAAUUACGAUUAAUGUGACUGACCUCAGUUUCAGGAAGAAGAUGUAUGUAAUUAUGUGGAGACUGAUACUGCACUGCCUCAGUGGAAUUUCUGACAGAAUAAGGAGAGCAGCUUGCUGACCUCAGAUGCCCUUUCUGAGUGCAUGAAGGAAGUAGGAAAGCUCCCCACAGACAUUACUGGACUUCGGAUCAAGUCAUAGGUCUUUCUAGUCUUGCUAACAGCAGAUGGAGUGGAAUUUCUGUGCCUGCACUCUAUUGAUUGUAGACUUUGGGCCUUAGUUUUAAAAGAGUGCUGAAUGAAAUAAGGGAAAAUAAGUGUUCACGCUUAGACAAAAAAAAAAGGUGUUAACAAGUCAUCUACUUAUUUAUUGUUCCUAAGCCAGUGAAAUUCUUGUCUUCGUCAACUGCACCAAAGAUGACACAGAUGUACACAUGGAUCUUUUUGUAAUGUAGAGGCAGUAUCAAAUGAAGUAGGUUGUCUAGUGCUGUCUCACAAUAGAUGUGUACUUGUGGAAAUGUGGUAUGAGCACAUUCCUAGAUGAACUUGGUUUUACUUCUAGGCCUGGACAUGAGGCACUAUUCCUUUUUACUAAAGAUGUCGGAGUAUUCCCCUUGAAACCAGAGCCUUAGGAGUCUAUCAGCAUUCUCCUAAUAAAGAGGUUUGUAUUCUGACUUGCAACAGUAUGUAAAAGCACUUUUUGGAGAAGCUUACUAAGAUUUUGCUGUCAACUAUGGUAUAUCUUUCCCAUUGGAACAUCGGGUUGUUUAAUCUCAGCUCUUGAAUAUUGUGGUUGUCACAGAGAACUGUAGGUAUUUUUUUCUUACCUUUGACAGUUUUAGUCCUUUAGUCUCCCUCUGUUCCCUGCAAGCAAAAUUGCACACUAGACCACAGAAAUAAAAGAUCAUAUUUGUAGCUCGACUUACAUUUGAAACUCCAAGUCUCAGAGGAGAAAUUUAGUUAUAGAGCACACACAGACCUAUCCAGUCUGCGAGCUUUGGAGCAUGCAGUAACUUCCACCUUUCCCACAUUGCAUCCAAAGCUUUAAAGCUUGGUUUUAUUUUUCAGUAUUUCUGUAUAACCAUAGGAUAAUACAGUUUGUGGAAAUUUGGGAGGAGGGAAUCGUAGAAUCAAGGAGUGGUUUGGAUUGGA